GGUGGAUUGAUUUGUCUGGUCUAUUCCGAUAACGAACGAGACUCUAUCCUACUAAAUAGUUUCACGAUUUUCAAGUCAUGUAGACUUCUUAGAGGGAUAAGCGGUGUUUAACCGCACGAGAUUGAGCGAUAACAGGUCUGUGAUGCCCUUAGAUGUCCGGGGCUGCACGCGCGCUACACUGGAGAAUUCAGCUGGACUUCUAUUGCCGAAAGGUAUUGGUAAACCGUUGAAACUUCUCCGUGACCGGGAUAGGGAAUUGUAAUUAUUUCCCUUGAAGGAGGAAUUCCUAGUAAGUGUGAGUCAUCAGCUCACGCUGAAUACGUCCCUGCCCUUUGUAC
rnacentral:rRNA from 1 species